GGCUCAGUGGUCUAGUGGUAUGAUUCCUGCUUCGGGUCGCACCCUUCCAUCUAUCUACAUGGGAAUGCAGGAGGCCCCGGGUUCGAAUCCCGGCUGAGCCC